rnacentral:rRNA from 1 species
GAUGAACGCUGGCGGCGUGCUUAACACAUGCGAGUCGAACGAAGCACCUUGAUUCGAUUCUUCGGAUGAAGAUCUUGGUGACUGAGUGGCGGACGGGUGAGUAACGCGUGGGUAACCUGCCUCAUACAGGGGGAUAACAGUUAGAAAUGACUGCUAAUACCGCAUAAGACCACAGCACCGCAUGGUGCAGGGGUAAAAACUCCGGUGGUAUGAGAUGGACCCGCGUCUGAUUAGGUAGUUGGUGGGGUAACGGCCUACCAAGCCGACGAUCAGUAGCCGACCUGAGAGGGUGACCGGCCACAUUGGGACUGAGACACGGCCCAAACUCCUACGGGAGGCAGCAGUGGGGAAUAUUGCACAAUGGGGGAAACCCUGAUGCAGCGACGCCGCGUGAGCGAUGAAGUAUUUCGGUAUGUAAAGCUCUAUCAGCAGGGAAGAAAAUGACGGUACCUGGCUAAGAAGCACCGGCUAAAUACGUG